rnacentral:rRNA from 1 species
ACGGAAGGCAGCAGUGAGGAAUAUUGGUCAAUGGGCGGAAGCCUGAACCAGCCAAGUCGCGUGAAGGAUGAAGGUAUUAUGUAUUGUAAACUUCUUUAGCCAGGGGGCAAUAAGGCGUACGCGUACGCCGAUGAGAGUACCUGGAGAAUAAGGAUCGGCUAACUCCGUGCCAGCAGCCGCGGUAAUACGGAGGAUCCGAGCGUUAUCCGGAUUUAUUGGGUUUAAAGGGUGCGCAGGCGGCUUUUUAAGUCAGUGGUUAAAUCGUGACGCUCAACGUCAUCACGCCAUUGAUACUGGAGAGCUUGAUUGCGGUCGAGGUUUGCGGAAUUCGUCGUGUAGCGGUGAAAUGCAUAGAUAUGACGAAGAACCCCGAUUGCGUAGGCAGCUUACCAAGCCGUAAAUGACGCUCAUGCACGAAAGUGCGGGGAUCGAACAGGAUUAGAUACCCUGGUA